rnacentral:rRNA from 1 species
ACGGAAGGCAGCAGUGGGGAAUAUUGGGCAAUGGGCGCAAGCCUGACCCAGCAACGCCGCGUGAAGGAAGAAGGCUUUCGGGUUGUAAACUUCUUUUAUCAGGGACGAAGGAAUGACGGUACCUGAUGAAUAAGCCACGGCUAACUACGUGCCAGCAGCCGCGGUAAUACGUAGGUGGCAAGCGUUAUCCGGAUUUACUGGGUGUAAAGGGAGCGCAGGCGGGACAGCAAGUUGGAUGUGAAAUACCGAGGCUUAACCACGGAGCUGCAUCCAAAACUGUUGUUCUUGAGUGAAGUAGAGGUAGGCGGAAUUCCGAGUGUAGCGGUGAAAUGCGUAGAUAUUCGGAGGAACACCAGUGGCGAAGGCGGCCUACUGGGCUUUAACUGACGCUGAGACACGAAAGCGUGGGGAGCAAACAGGAUUAGAUACCCUGGUA